GUUUACGGCCACACCGGCCUGAGUACGCCUGAUCUCGUCCGAUCUCGGAAGCUAAAAAGGGUCGGGCCUGGUUAGUACUUGGAUGGGAGACCGCCUGGGAAUACCAGGUACUGUAAGCU
rnacentral:rRNA from 1 species